rnacentral:rRNA from 1 species
CCUACGGGCGGCAGCAGUGAGGAAUAUUGGUCAAUGGACGAGAGUCUGAACCAGCCAAGUAGCGUGAAGGAUGACUGCCCUAUGGGUUGUAAACUUCUUUUAUAAAGGAAUAAAACGAGGCACGUGUGCCUUUUUGCAUGUACUUUAUGAAUAAGGAUCGGCUAACUUCGUGCCAGCAGCCGCGGUAAUACGGAGGAUCCGAGCGUUAUCCGGAUUUAUUGGGUUUAAAGGGAGCGUAGAUGGGUUGUUAAGUUAGUUGUGAAAGUUUGCGGCUCAACCGUAAAAUUGCAAUUGAUACUGGCAGUCGUGAGUACAGUUGAGGUAGGUGGAAUUCGUGGUGUAGCGGUGAAAUGCUUAGAGAUCACGAAGAACCCCGAUUGCGAAGGCAGCUUACUAAACUGUGACUGACAUUGAUGCUCGAAAGUGUGGGUAUCAAACAGGAUUAGAUACCCCGGUAGUC